CACCUCACAAAACCCGUGAGGAACAUCCUCAGAAUCCUGGACCAAUGCAGAGGUCUUGCACAGAGCUGUAGAAAAACCGCCACGCUGAAGCUGAGGCAUAUUUGGUCCUCUUUAAGUGAAUACUGCACAAUAGAUCUGCUAGUCUAGAGCUUAACUAAAUACAUUGCUUUUAAUUUCAGGUUUUCUAAAGCUGGACGGGACUAUCGGUGCAGAUCCAGGAUGGCUGCCAGGUGGCCUGCUGUCUGCUUCUGCUCUGAAGGCAAACAGCUGAGGUGCUAGGAGGCAAAGUGAGAACUGUAAUGGAAAGCUGCCCUGCAUAAGGAAGUUGGUGUGUGCACUUUGCCUGGAUUUAUGUCUUAGUUUACUUCAGUUUAGCUCCUCAUGGCUUCCUAACAGUCUCAUUGGAUGCCAUUUUCCCACUGGAGCAGUUAUGGUAAGAAAGACCUCAGCUUCUGUGAAUUAAAGAUAGUACUCAGCCCGUUCUGCGUAUUAGUUCUAAGUAUAUGCGUAAGAAGAGGAUAAGUGUUUUGCAGGAAAUGUUGGGAGUCCUUUCUUCCUGUUAAAAGUAAAUUGGGGUUGCAGUCUCUCACAGCAUUUAAGGAUCAAACACAUGUCUUUUUAUUCCAUUUCUUCUUCCUGAGUUUUUCCAUGUAAAAAGAUCUAAUGUGGUUAUAUUGCCUUAUUCUGUUACUGUCUGUCUGCUUACAGGAAGCUGAUGUGGUUCAUUGCUCUUCUGUCUAUCCAGUAAGAAGCACUUUCGGUGCCACUCCAUGUACAGUGUGAAUCUUUGUUUAAAUAGUAUUGUCCUUUUGUAGGAAGAUUUCUUGAAAGUGAUCACUUAAUACUGCCCUAAUUCUUUAAAACUAACGAGUACAAGCUAGCAAAGCCCUCUCAUACAAACAGAUGGGAGCUACCACUAGGAAGCUUUGCCAGAUGUGGGCUUCUGAUGAGAAAGUUUUUCUGGAGUGAGUUCUGUCUAAGUGGGACAAAGUCAUGCCUGUGCUGCUGGGCUUAGUAGCUUGGGUUAUUGAAUCAAAGGUCCCCAUAUACUUCCCAUCACAAUAAACCUACCUGUCUAUCAUUCUGUCAUUUAUGGCACCUUUCUGUUAAAAUUUCUGGGGUUUUCUCCAGUCCUCUCACUAUUUAUCUGGCUAUGGAUAGUAUCCAAAGUGUAUUAAUUAAAGAAAAGAGUGUUCUUUUGUAAUCUCCAAGGGCUGGUUAUAAUUAAAAUAGGUGACUAAAAUUUACUGGCUUGUUGGCCGUAGUUUCCUGGGUUUAGGCAGGCCCUUGGUAGUAGCUAAUAAAUGUGGAAAAGCAUUAAUUAUUUUUCAUCUUUGGGCUUGAAUAUUCACAGUUGCACUCUGCUUUCCUUAUGAAUUUCCAUUCUAUAAAAUAUCUAGAAGUUGGCCCUUCAGUAGAAGAGGCAUACUGAUACAGAAAUAGCUGACCAAUUGCUUUCUUAACAUUUACAGGAAGUGCAAAGAAAUUAAAUCAUGAGCCUAAAAAAAGAAACACUCGCAUUUGUACCAGGUUGAAGGGUGGAACUAUUACGCUGCUUAUUGUAUGAACUUGGUCAUCCAAUCUGAAGGUAAUACCAACUAUAAACUCUGUAUGUUCCUCUUCAGUACUGUCAGGUUUGACUUCAAGUUCAGAGGGUGUUUUUGUGAGAGAAUGACUCCACUGUAAUUGUCUAAAUUGUUUUAUAAAACUUUUUGAGAAUAUCAGUUGCAUUGUUGUUUAAAUUGCUACAUUGGAAGGAAUAGCAAAUUGGAAUAUGAGUUAUCCUGAGAACCUGCAUUUGAAUUCAUGUGGGAGGUGUCAACUGUCUUUGAGUUCUGUAUACUAAUUCUAACAUAUUUUAUGAUGAAUGCAUAUUAUGGGUAAGAUAAAAAUAUUUUUUGCUGUGUAUGUAUUAGUUUUUUGUUGUCUUAAAAUGAAUGUCAUGUUUGAUGGCAUUACGGUAGAUAGUGUAUUGCUGCCACAAUGUUGUUUGAGUGAUCUCGACACAUUUGUAAUCAAAAAGCAUGCUACACUUGAAUGCACUGGCUUAAGGUUGUGUUUGUGAAAGACAGAAUGUCUUUCCAAUGUGUGGGUUGUAGUUCUUUUCAUUCUGUUUAAAAGCAUAUACAGACACUAAUUGUUCUGUCUGAAGAAAAUAUCUAUAAAUGCAGAUUUUUAGCAUUAUUAUUUUAUAUGAUAGAAGGAUUGUAAUAUGAUAAUAUGCAUAUCAAAUCUCGAUACUGAUACUAAUUUGUAAAGUUUGGGGUAGUGGGUUUUUUGUUGUUGAUGUUUUAAGAAGAGCAAUGUUUACAUGAUUUUCACUUCUGACCUAUGGGGAGCAGUUUUGUAUGAGACUUGGCAAAAUGGGGGAAAUCAGAUAAACAUGCUUUUGAAUAUUUCUAUUUGGGUUUUUUCUCAUGUCAGUAAAAGCUGGCAGAAAGCUCUAAUAAGUCAACCUACUUCAGAGCCUAAUUUAACUUAGUUUCAAGGUUGCAAGAUGUAUGAAUUGUUUGUAUUUUCCUGAAAACCUGUUUAUGACAUUGAAAUAGUUGUAAUUCUGCUAUGUUUUUCUCUUCGUUAGAAGUGUUGAAUAUUUUGGAGAAUUGGGUGACACAUUUUUUUUUCAUAGAUUCUAGAUAUGUCAGGUUAUUUUCUGAUAUUUUCUGUCUGUAACUUGUGAAGGUAUGUCCUAAACAUGAAAAGUUUUAUGCAGUUGCUUUUCCUUUUAUCUACAGAAGCUUUAAUUAUUUUUGAUUCCUUUAUCAAAGAAACUAAUUUCACAGACUAAAUUAAGACAAUAUAAUAUUUGGACGUUAAUACAUUCAUAAAAUGUUUCUUUAAAAUGUAUUUGAUAGCAUUUCAUGUGUUCCAUGGUGUGGAUUUUGAUUUUGCAUGUAGAUCCCUGUUAUACCUGUGUUACUUCUUCAGUUACUGGGAAGGGAAUUAUAUCCUAGUUUUGAGGAAUGUUAAUUUCUGUGCCUCCAUUGUCUGAAAGAUAAUUAGUAUCAAAAUACGGCUGAGUCGGCAGUCUGCUGUGGCUGUUCAGAGACAAGACUGUGAGUUUCUCUGUUAAUACUAAGCUAUGCAUUGUAAUAGGCUAUUUAAAAAAGACCUCCCACUUUGUAUCUUGAAAUUGCAAUACAGGUAAAUUUUAUCUACAUGGUUAAAAAUACAGCUCUGUAAGAAGUAACAUCUACUUGGUUUUGGUGCCAAGUAAAAUGACCUUAUUGCUCUGUGAGGUAAGGUUUUCCCUGCUGCGCUAUGCCACUGUUGCCAGAUACUGACUGACAGACGUUCUUUGCAAAUGCACAUCCUUGUUUACAAGGCAAUACUUGAUGACUAAGUAAACAAAAAUGCAGUGUAUUGAUGUAUGUAUUAGAAGAAAAAAAAAUCCUAAACUUAGUGUAGACUCAGAUGUGUAAAUGAGUGUCUGAAAAGGAGAAAGAUUAAUGGAAAUUAAUGGAGAACAGGACUGGAAGGGACUGUCUUAGCUGCCAUGUUUGUCCCCCUAUCAUUAGACAAGAUCUGCUGUGUCUCAUGUGAAUCUCUUAGUGAAUUUUAAUGAAGAUUUUUUAUUUUGGUUGAUUUUGAUUUUCUGCUUUUUCUAUGGAUUGUUUUUGUGGCAAAUGCAAGUUUAUAAUGUAAUUUACUUUCUCAUUUGAAAAGUCAGCUCCCAUAUGAAUCUGGUUCUACCCUCUUUGGUUUGGCAAUGCUAGAAGCUGGUGUGUACUCUGGUGUAUUAAAAUUGCUAGCCAGGAAGAGUAACAGGGGCGUGGAACAGAUGAAUCCACCUCAUAGCUUUAUUUCCACAAAUAAUUUAAGAAAAUAAAUACUACUUAUUUCAAUUGGCUUUUUUCAUGGUAGAACUAACUUCAACUUACACAAAAUAUUAUUUGCACUUAUUUAAAAAUAGAUGUGUGUUAAUUCUCACCUCAGAAUUUUACAGAGAUAUUUAC